rnacentral:rRNA from 1 species
UACAGAGGGUGCAAGCGUUGUUCGGAAUUAUUGGGCGUAAAGCGCGCGUAGGCGGCCCGGUAAGUCCGUUGUAAAAGUCGAAGGCUCAACCUUCGAAAGCCGAUGGAUACUGCCGGGCUAGAGUCCGGAAGAGGCGAGUGGAAUUCCUGGUGUAGCGGUGGAAUGCGCAGAUAUCAGGAGGAACACCGAUUGCGAAGGCAGCUCGCUGGGACGUAACUGACGCUGAGACGCGAAAGCGUGGGGAGCAAACAGG